rnacentral:rRNA from 1 species
UACGUAGGGUGCGAGCGUUAAUCGGAAUUACUGGGCGUAAAGCGUGCGUAGGCGGUUCGUUAAGUUCGUUGUGAAAGCCCCGGGCUCAACCUGGGAAUGGCAAUGGAAACUGGCGGGCUUGAGUAUGGCAGAGGGGGGUGGAAUUCCGCGUGUAGCAGUGAAAUGCGUAGAGAUGCGGAGGAACACCGAUGGCGAAGGCAGCCCCCUGGGCCAAUACUGACGCUCAGGCACAAAAGCGUGGGGAGCAAACAGG